rnacentral:tRNA from 1 species
GAUUACUUAGUAUAAAUUAUUACUUUAGACUGUAAAUCUAAGAAUGGGUUACCAGUAGUCA